ACUCGAGUGGCGAACGGGUGAGUAACACGUGGGUGAUCUGCCCUGCACUUCGGGAUAAGCCUGGGAAACUGGGUCUAAUACCGGAUAGGAGCCAUUUUUAGUGUGAUGGUUGGAAAGUUUUUCGGUGUAGGAUGAGCUCGCGGCCUAUCAGCUUGUUGGUGGGGUAAUGGCCUACCAAGGCGGCGACGGGUAGCCGGCCCGAGAGGGUGGACGGCCACAUUGGGACUGAGAUACGGCCCAG
rnacentral:rRNA from 1 species